GUGCCCGUAGCUCAGCAGGAUAGAGCACAAGAUUCCUAAUCUUGGGGUCGGAGGUUCGAAUCCUCUCGGGCACACCA
rnacentral:tRNA from 1 species